GUGUUGCUAACGGUAAGUUCUAUAGCUCUCGGGAAGGGAGAGGUAGGAAAAGGUAGGAAGAUGGGGAAGGGAAGGACCUUCUAGUUCAUCUUCUUAAAAUUGGAAAGCCAAGUCAUAUUCAGCUACUAAGUCUAUUUGAAUACAAACAACUCAGAAUGGGGCGUCUGGGUCUUCCUCCAGGCCGAGCCCGAGUCUUGCCAAAUGAACUCUGCUCUUGUUUCCCAGGUCGCUGCCCCUCUGCAGCUGAGAGCCCAGCCGGCUGUUCCACAACACACUGCCUCACUCACUCUUCCUGUAACAAGGAAUAACUUCCGUUGACACUCCACAGUUUCCAGAAGGCUGCAUUGUUCUUGAGUCCCAUGUUGGAGUUCCCAAAGACCUCAUUUCCUCUGGUUAUUCUUCGGCCUUCCCUGGCCCUUCUUUGAUGGACUGCACCGCAAUUUUACUUAAGACCGGAAGAGGCUUUAGAGCCUGAAGGUACUGGAAGAAGAGAGAAAUAACCUUUCACUUGUUCUCA